rnacentral:rRNA from 1 species
UACGGGAGGCAGCAGUAAGGAAUAUUGGUCAAUGGCGCAAGCCUGAACCAGCCAUGCCGCGUGCAGGAAGACGGCCCUCUGGGUUGUAAACUGCUUUUGUACGGGAAUAAACCUUUCUUCGUGAAGGAAGCUGAAUGUACCGUAAGAAUAAGGAUCGGCUAACUCCGUGCCAGCAGCCGCGGUAAUACGGAGGAUCCAAGCGUUAUCCGGAUUUAUUGGGUUUAAAGGGUGCGUAGGCGGCCUGUUAAGUCAGGGGUGAAAGACGGUGGCUCAACCAUCGCAGUGCCCUUGAUACUGAUGGGCUUGAAUGGACUAGAGGUAGGCGGAAUGUGACAAGUAGCGGUGAAAUGCAUAGAUAUGUCACAGAACACCGAUUGCGAAGGCAGCUUACUAUGGUCCUAUUGACGCUGAGGCACGAAAGCGUGGGGAUCGAACAGGAUUAGAUACCCUGGUAGUCCACGCCCUAAACGAUGAACACUCGCUGUUGGCGAUACACGGUCAGCGGCUAAGCGAAAGCGUUAAGUGUUCCACCUGGGGAGUACGCCCGCAAGGGUGAAACUCAAAGGAAUUGACGGGGGCCCGCACAAGCGGAGGAGCAUGUGGUUUAAUUCGAUGAUACGCGAGGAACCUUACCCGGGCUUGAAAGUUAGUGAAGUAUCCAGAGAUGGAUGCGUCCUUCGGGACACGAAACUAGGUGCUGCAUGGCUGUCGUCAGCUCGUGCCGUGAGGUGUUGGGUUAAGUCCCGCAACGAGCGCAACCCCUAUGUCUAGUUGCCAGCAUGUAAUGGUGGGGACUCUAGACAGACUGCCUGUGCAAACAGAGAGGAAGGAGGGGACGACGUCAAGUCAUCAUGGCCCUUACGUCCGGGGCUACACACGUGCUACAAUGGACGGUACAGAGGGCAGCUAGACAGCAAUGUCGUGCCAAUCUCAAAAAGCCGUUCACAGUUCGGAUCGGGGUCUGCAACUCGACCCCGUGAAGUUGGAUUCGCUAGUAAUCGCGUAUCAGCAAUGACGCGGUGAAUACGUUCCCGGGCCUUGUACACACCGCCCGUCAAGCCAUGGAAGUUGGGGGUACCUAAAGUACGUAACCGCAAGGAGCGUCCCUAGGAAACC